ensembl:lncRNA
CCCAAAUGCCUGCUCUGCUUUGCAGAGAGCAUUCUCAUGCAGCGCCAAGGCCGGGCUGAGGGAAAACCUGGGGAAAAUAAAACCGCCACAGCACAAAACUGGCUGGAAGGAGCCUCCUUUCUGCUCCCUGGGGGAUCAGCCCCUUGCACCCACCAUUUGGCCACUUGCAGGUUGAACCCCAGCUGUCCCUCCUUUAGCCCAGAUAAGUCCCCACCUCUCCAUCCUCCCUUGCAGGACAGGUUCCCCUGGCCUUACAUCACCCUUCAGUGCUCUCUGCUGGGCUCCCACUGAUUAAUCUGUAUUUUUCUUGAAAAGCAGCACUCAAAAUGAGGCAGAAAGCACCAGCUGAGCCCUGGUCAUGCUGAGCAGAGCAGAAAGCCUGCCUCACCUAUGAUCUCCCUUCUCCCAGUGAGGUGUUUGCAGGUUUCACAGCCAUGCAUCACACGCAGCUUGAGUUGCUCCCAAGACCCAGAGGAUCUCUUUUUCCUUUUGUUCCCCUGUUUAGUUAAUGGUUCCUGGCCCGGGAUGCAUGCCCUUCAUUUCUACCUCAUGGCAGCACUUCACACUUUUACUUAUCCAACCAAGUCACCUUCUCUCACUCCUCACCCAAUCUGGCCAUGAGCACAUAGAAUCCCUGCCCUCCCUUGAGCUCUCGGUCACUCUGCUGCUUGACCCCUGGUCCAUCCCUGAGCAAUUCACCCAGACACUGAUCGGGGUGGCCCCGUGGACUCAGCAUGUCCUACCACAGGGCACCACUGGUGAUGGCUGGUGGGGUGAUCCUCUGCCCAUGUCAUAACCUACUAAAAGCCACCGUUCCUUAUCAUCUGCAGGAGAGUGCUGUGUGAGAUGGCACCAGAAGCCUCCCUAAGCGAAGAUAUAUGAUAUUCAUUGCCUCUCCACAAGGCUUAUUGCCCUGUCAUAGGAGGAAAUAAGCUCUGAGGCACCUGAGCAGCCGGUUUCAAAAGGAACAAGCCUGCUUUCUCUGCCCUGCCGCGAUUACACCCGUAGCAGACCAGUGCAUUCCAGUCCUCUAUGGAGCACAGCUCGUGGCCAGCCUUACUUAGCUGGCCUUGCUUCAAACUCUGCAGACAACCACUCAAACAGACCAGAGCUCAUAUUUUCCAUCCAUUUCUAAAAUUCAACACUGUACCAAUACCUCAGAGAUGCUGAUCUCCUACAGCUCUCAGAGAGGUCUCCAAAUCCAAUUCACGGUGGAAACCCAUGUGGAGCUCAUCACACAGGAAGGCAGUGGAGAAGGACUCAUG